rnacentral:rRNA from 1 species
UACGUAGGGUGCGAGCGUUAAUCGGAAUUACUGGGCGUAAAGCGUGCGCAGGCGGUUUUGCAAGACAGAUGUGAAAUCCCCGGGCUUAACCUGGGAACUGCAUUUGUGACUGCAAGGCUAGAGUGUGUCAGAGGGAGGUGGAAUUCCGCGUGCAGCAGUGAAAUGCGUAGAGAUGCGGAGGAACACCGAUGGCGAAGGCAGCCUCCUGGGAUAACACUGACGCUCAUGCACGAAAGCGUGGGGAGCAAACAGG